rnacentral:misc_RNA from 1 species
GGAAGGAUCAUUAGUGAAUUUGAGUGCUUCUUUACGAAGGCUCGACCUCCACUUCUAACACUGUGCAUUACAAUUUGGCUCGGUUUGACUUUUAUUAGUCGGGCGAGCCUUAUUAUCUUAUAAACUUCAGUUAAAGAAUGUAACAAACCUAAAACAAAAAAAAACUUUCAACAACGGAUCUCUUGGCUCUCGCAUCGAUGAAGAACGCAGCGAAAUGUGAUAAGUAAUGUGAAUUGCAGAAUUCAGUGAAUCAUCGAAUCUUUGAACGCACCUUGCGCUCUCUGGUAUUCCGGAGAGCAUGCCUGUUUGAGUGUCAUGAACUCUUCAACCCUCCUAUUUCUUGUAAAUAGUGUGGAGUUUGGAUUUUGAAUGUCUGCUGGCCUUUUUUGGCGAAGCUCAUUCGCAAUGCAUUAGCAUCUCAAAUUCGUCUUUCGGAUUGACUCAGCGUGAUAGACUUUCUUCGCUGAGGACAUUAGCUCGUCUAAUGGCCGAUUUUCGUAAAAGUAGAAGCUUCUAAUCAAGUCAACUUUUGAUUUAGACCUCAAAUCAGGUAGGAUUACCCGCUGAACUUAAGCAUAUCAAUAAGCGGAGGAAAAGAAACUAACAAGGAUUCCCCUAGUAGCGGCGAGCGAAGCGGGAAGAGCUCAAAUUUGUAAUCUGGCACCUUCGGUGUCCGAGUUGUAAUCUCGAGAAGUGUUUUCCGCGCCAGACCGCAUAUAAGUCUGUUGGAAUACAGCGUCAUAGUGGUGAGAACCCCGUACAUGAUACGGAUGCCUGGUGCUCUGUGAUACACUUUCGAAGAGUCGAGUUGUUUGGGAAUGCAGCUCAAAUUGGGUGGUAAAUUCCAUCUAAAGCUAAAUAUUGGCGAGAGACCGAUAGCGAACAAGUACCGUGAGGGAAAGAUGAAAAGCACUUUGGAAAGAGAGUUAACAGUACGUGAAAUUGUUGGAAGGGAAACGCUUGAAGUCAGACUUGCUAUUUGGUGUUCAGCCGCAAGGCGUAUUCAUCAAUUUGCAGGCCAGCAUCAGUUUUUGGGGGUAGAAAAGGGUAUUGAGAACGUAGCUGUUUCGGCAGUGUUAUAGCUCUUUACUGGACCUAUCCUUGGGGACUGAGGAACGCAGUACGCUUUUUGCAAUCUCUUCGGGGAUUUCGUACUUAGGAUGCUGGUGGAAUGGCUUUAAACGACCCGUCUUGAAACACGGACCAAGGAGUCUAACAUGCUUGCGAGUAUUUGGGUGUCAAACCCGGAUGCGUAAUGAAAGUGAAUGGAGGUGGGAACCGCAAGGUGCACCAUCGACCGAUCUGGAUUUUUUAUGAUGGAUUUGAGUAAGAGCAAUUAUGUUGGGACCCGAAAGAUGGUGAACUAUGCCUGAAUAGGGUGAAGCCAGAGGAAACUCUGGUGGAGGCUCGUAGCGAUUCUGACGUGCAAAUCGAUCGUCAAAUUUGGGUAUAGGGGCGAAAGACUAAUCGAACCAUCUAGUAGCUGGUUCCUGC